rnacentral:rRNA from 1 species
UACGUAGGGUGCAAGCGUUGUCCGGAAUUAUUGGGCGUAAAGAGCUCGUAGGCGGUUUGUCGCGUCUGCUGUGAAAUCCCAGGGCUUAACCCUGGGCCUGCAGUGGGUACGGGCAAACUAGAGUGCGGUAGGGGAGAUCGGAAUUCCUGGUGUAGCGGUGGAAUGCGCAGAUAUCAGGAGGAACACCGGUGGCGAAGGCGGGUCUCUGGGCAGUAACUGACGCUGAGGAGCGAAAGCGUGGGGAGCGAACAGG